rnacentral:rRNA from 1 species
UACGAAGGGGGCUAGCGUUGCUCGGAAUUACUGGGCGUAAAGGGAGCGUAGGCGGAUCGUUACGUUAGAGGUGAAAGCCCAGGGCUCAACCCUGGAAUUGCCUUUGAUACUGGCGAUCUUGAGUAUGGGAGAGGUAAGCGGAACUCCGAGUGUAGAGGUGAAAUUCGUAGAUAUUCGGAAGAACACCAGUGGCGAAGGCGGCUUACUGGCCCAUUACUGACGCUGAGGCUCGAAAGCGUGGGGAGCAAACAGG